rnacentral:rRNA from 1 species
GACGAACGCUGGCGGCGUGCUUAACACAUGCAAGUCGAACGGCAAGGCACUGCUUUUGUGGGGUGCUCGAGUGGCGAACGGGUGAGUAACACGUGUGUAUCCUGCUCUAGUUUUUGGGAUAACUUCACGUAACUGAGCUUAAUACCGUAUCGCAUACGAUGUUCCAUGGAGGGGGUUGGAAAGUUUCGGCGGUCGGGGUUGGAUUAGCGGCUUAACGGCUAGUUGGUGGGGGAGGUGCUUACCAAGGCUUUGACGGGUACCCGGCCUGUGAGGGUGACCGGGCACAAUGGGACUGAGGUACGGACCAGAGGCCUACGUGGGGCAGCAGUGGGGAAUAUUGCACAACGGGCGGAAGCCUGAUGCAGCAACGUCGCGGGCGGGAAGACGGCCUUUGGGGUAUAAACCGCUUUAGCCUGAGACGAAGCGGGAGUGACGGUAAUCGGUAAAGAAGCACCGGCUAACUACGUG